CCUCCCAGCCGGAUCUCCCAGUGAGGAGGCUGGGGCCGCCGGAUCCGGUGACCCCAUUCUCCUCGCCGGCGGAUCCGGCACCCUAGA
rnacentral:pre_miRNA from 1 species